GCUGGAGUAGCUAUGGAUCGUUCUGACUCGGUUGCGACUUUCGCCUUGGUCCGAGCUUCAGCUGAUGGAGCUGUCGAUAGUACUGCUGCAACUUCGUCUUCUCCUGCCACCCCAUCUUUAGGGGACGGCACCUCAGGGAGCAUCGUCGGGGCCGACAAUGCCAACACUGGCUCGAGAACCAACUUCGAUGGGAUGUCGGAUUCCCUCACUAGUGUAGAUGAAGU
rnacentral:lncRNA from 1 species